GGCGGAGUAGCUCAGUUGGUUAGAGCAGCGGAAUCAUAAUCCGCGUGUCGGGGGUCCGAGUCCCUCCUCCGCUACCA
rnacentral:tRNA from 1 species